rnacentral:rRNA from 1 species
AAAGGGUGCGUAGGCGGUUUAUUAAGUCAGUGGUGAAAGACGGUCGCUCAACGAUUGCAGUGCCAUUGAUACUGGUAGACUUGAGUAUGAUUGAGGUAGCUGGAAUGGAUAGUGUAGCGGUGAAAUGCAUAGAUAUUAUCCAGAACACCAAUUGCGUAGGCAAGUUACUAAGUCAUAACUGACGCUGAUGCACGAAAGUGUGGGUAUCAAACAGGAUUAGAUACCCGGGU